rnacentral:rRNA from 1 species
GACGAACGCUGGCGGCGUGCUUAACACAUGCAAGUCGAACGAAGUGGCGAACGGGUGAGUAAUACGUGGGUAACCUGCCCUCCUUUUUGGGAUAAGCCUUGGAAACGGGGUCUAAUACCGGAUAAAGGGGGAUGGGCUCGCGGCCUAUCAGCUUGUUGGUGGGGUGAUUGACUACCAAGGCGGUGACGGGUAGCUGGCCUGAGAGGGUGACCGGCAACAGUGGGACGGAGAUAAGGCCCAGACGACGAAGGGGGGGAGAAGUUGGGGAUAUGGGACAAUGGGUGAAAGAGUGAUGCAGCGUCGGCGAGGGGGGGAUGAAGGCUUUAGGGUUGUAAACCUCGUUCGCUAUAGAACGGGUAGGUGGAGAAGAAGCGCCGGCUAACUACGUGCCAGCAGCCGCGGUAAUUC